rnacentral:rRNA from 1 species
CAUGGCUCAGGAUGAACGCUAGCGAUAGGCUUAACACAUGCAAGUCGAGGGGCAGCAUGGUCUUAGCUUGCUAAGACUGAUGGCGACCGGCGCACGGGUGCGUAACGCGUAUGCAACUUGCCUCACAGAGGGGGAUAACCCGUCGAAAGACGGACUAAUACCGCGUACACUUACAGGAGGGCAUCCUCCAGUAAGGAAAUGAAAUUCGCUGUGAGAUAGGCAUGCGUCCCAUUAGCUAGUUGGUGAGGUAACGGCUCACCAAGGCGACGAUGGGUAGGGGAACUGAGAGGUUGAACCCCCACACUGGUACUGAGACACGGACCAGACUCCUACGG